rnacentral:rRNA from 1 species
CAGCCGCCACGGGAAAACGAGGGGGGCAAGCGUUGUUCGGAAUUAUUGGGCGUAAAGGGCUCGCAGGCGGUUUCUUAAGUCUGAUGUGAAAGCCCCCGGCUCAACCGGGGAGGGUCAUUGGAAACUGGGAAACUUGAGUGCAGAAGAGGAGAGUGGAAUUCCACGUGUAGCGGUGAAAUGCGUAGAGAUGUGGAGGAACACCAGUGGCGAAGGCGACUCUCUGGUCUGUAACUGACGCUGAGGAGCGAAAGCGUGGGGAGCGAACAGGAUUAGAUACCCCUGUAGUCCCUGUCUCUUAUAA